rnacentral:rRNA from 1 species
AAGCGCCAAGGAAAACUAAAACGAAGCGCUCGGCCCCUUCUCCCACCCCGUAUGCGGUGUGUGUGGACGGGGGUACAAUGUGCCUCUUUAAUGUCAAAACGACUCUCGGCAACGGAUAUCUCGGCUCUCGCAUCGAUGAAGAACGUAGCGAAAUGCGAUACUUGGUGUGAAUUGCAGAAUCCCGUGAACCAUCGAGUCUUUGAACGCAAGUUGCGCCCGAAGCCUUCGGGCCGAGGGCACGCCUGCCUGGGCGUCACGC